CUUGUGUGUGUGUGUGUGUGUGUGUGUGCGCGCGCGCACAUGCGCGCGCGUGCA
rnacentral:miRNA from 1 species